AUACGGAGGGUGCGAGCGUUAAUCGGAAUUACUGGGCGUAAAGCGCGCGUAGGCGGCUUGGUCAGUCGGAUGUGAAAGCCCUGGGCUUAACCUGGGAAUUGCAUUCGAUACUGCCAGGCUGGAAUGUAGUAGAGGGUAGUGGAAUUCCGGGUGUAGCGGUGAAAUGCGUAGAUAUCCGGAGGAACAUCAGUGGCGAAGGCGACUACCUGGACUAACAUUGACGCUGAGGUGCGAAAGCGUGGGGAGCAAACAGGAUUAGAAACCCCGGUAGUCC
rnacentral:rRNA from 1 species